UUAUUUUUUCUCAAUUCAUCAACAACUUUUUCAGCUAAAUGAAGUUUUUCGACUUUUUUCCCAUGUGAAGUUAACGUAUUAUACAUAAUCCGGAUAAAAAAUUUUCACACAUUAGAUAACCAUAAGUCAACUAUUCACAAAAAAAAAUCCACAUAUGAUCGGCUAUAGUGGCUACAUGUAAACUCUUACAAAAAUGACAUAGUCCUACAUAGUCCCUUUUUGCCUGACAAAAAUAGAUAGUGUAAUCUCCUACACAGACCUUUUUACAUUUUAGAUUCUGAGUGUAGCGAGGAAUAUAUAUUGGUUUUAAAGU